UACAGAGGUCUCAAGCGUUGUCCGGAUUCAUUGGGCGUAAAGAGCGCGCAGGCGGCUUGGUAAGUCGGAUGUGAAAACCCGAGGCUCAACCUCGGGCGUGCAUCCGAAACUGCUCGGCUAGAGGUAGGUAGGGGAGAUCGGAAUUCCUGGUGUAGCGGUGAAAUGCGCAGAUAUCAGGAGGAACACCGGUGGCGAAGGCGGCUCGCUGGGCCGUUCCUGACGCUGAGACGCGAAAGCUAGGGGAGCGAACAGG
rnacentral:rRNA from 1 species